rnacentral:lncRNA from 1 species
UGUGGGUGUCUGCUUCUGCUUCCAUCAGCUACUGGAUGAAGGCUCUAGGAUGGCAUAUAAGGAUACUGCCCAUGUGAGUUCCUGUUGCCUGCAAGAUCAAGGACCCUCAGCUCCAGCACCACAUCUGCCUGCAUGCUGCCAUGCUCCCAUCAUAAUGAUAAUGGACUGAACCUCUGAAACUAUCACUCUCUAAUGAGAGCCCAUGUCAUAAGGACAAAUAGAUAUCUGGUGGAGAGGAUCAUGGGACUGCUAACUUAUAAAUGAGUGAGCAAGGAAGCACAUGCUACUUCCAGAUGACUACAGGUUUGGCC